AUAGGCAACCGCUACUGGAAUGUGUGGUUGCUAAAAUCCACGGAGCUCCAGGAUGGGGCUGCGGCGGAUCAGGCUGUUGGGGGUGUAAUGCACCUUCAAACCUAUAAUCCGUACGGGUUGUGAGAGCAAUAGCCCGGAGAUGGGCUCUGAGACAAGAGUCCAGGUCCUACGGGACGCAGCAGGCGCGAAAACUUUGCAAUAGCUGAGAGGCUGACAAGGGAAUCCCGAGUGCUUCGUCAUUGACGGAGCUUUUGUCGAGUGAAAACAGCUCGGCGAAUAAGCAGUGGGUAAGACGGGUGCCAGCCGCCGCGGUAAUACCCGCGCUGCGAGUGGUGGGCGCGUUUAUUGGGUUUAGAGCGUCCGUAGCCGGUCCUGCAAAUCCUCAGCGAAAUCCUUAAUUGAAUUAAGGGCUGCCUGGGGAAACUACAGGACUUGGAACCGGGAGAGGUUGGAGGUAUUCUUCGGGUAGAGGUAAAAUCCUAUAAUCCGACGAAGACCACCUGUGGCGAAAGCGUCCAACUUGAACGGCUUCGACGGUGAGGGACGAAAGCCUGGGGAGCAAACGGGAUUAGAUACCCCGGUAGUCCAGGCCGUAAACAAUGCCCGCUUGGUGUUACGGUUCCUACGUGGAACCGUUGUGCCGGAGCGAAAGUGUUAAGCGGGCCACCUGGGGAGUACGGCCGCAAGACUGAAACUUAAGGGAAUUGGCGGGGGAUCACACAAGGGGUGGAGGCUGCGGUUCAUUGAU
rnacentral:rRNA from 1 species